rnacentral:rRNA from 1 species
AGUGAACGCUGGCGGUAGGCCUAACACAUGCAAGUCGAACGGCAGCACAGUAAGAGCUUGCUCUUACGGGUGGCGAGUGGCGGACGGGUGAGGAAUACAUCGGAAUCUACUUUUUCGUGGGGGAUAACGUAGGGAAACUUACGCUAAUACCGCAUACGACCUACGGGUGAAAGCAGGGGAUCUUCGGACCUUGCGCGAUUGAAUGAGCCGAUGUCGGAUUAGCUAGUUGGCGGGGUAAAGGCCCACCAAGGCGACGAUCCGUAGCUGGUCUGAGAGGAUGAUCAGCCACACUGGAACUGAGACACGGUUCAGACUCCUACGGGAGGCAGCAGUGGGGAAUAUUGGACAAUGGGCGCAAGCCUGAUCCAGCCAUACCGCGUGGGUGAAGAAGGCCUUCGGGUUGUAAAGCCCUUUUGUUGGGAAAGAAAAGCAGCAGGUUAAUACCCCGCUGCUCUGACGGUACCCAAAGAAUAAGCACCGGCUAACUUCGUG